ACUGUGCAUGCCAGGAUUCUCCAGAAAAAUGUCUUCCUUGCUGUUUGCAGUCUAGUCACAGUGAGCCACCACCACCAGCAGGGUCACCAUUAGUUUUGUGCUUCCUCUAGUCAUUCCUGUUGUACAUGAAUUCCACCACACAGAAAGAUUAAAAACUAGAUUGACAUGUACCAGAAGGAAUUCUGAAUUAAAAUAACUGCAUCUUCCUGCUGGAAGGAGUGCUUAGACGGAGAUGACAAUCCCUGUUCUUCCUAUCUCAUGAAGGAGUAGAGUAAGACAUGAUUCCUUAUGGGACAAGACCUGAAAACAGAAAGAACUACAUGGAGUUAAAGGUUGUGGGUAUAAAACAAACACACAGAGGCCUCGGGUAACAGCUAUACAGCCUAGAUUUUCAGCUUCAUCUUGAAAAAACUACAGAAGAAGAUUAAUUUCUGCAUCAAGUUGCCAUAAGGAUAUUUUUAGUACUAGGCAAUUGGGGGAUGUCAGUUCACAAGAUCUCAUGAUGAAAACUUGGGCCACUUACAAUGAUUCUGGUCACUCUCUGAUAAUAAAGAUGCCUUGAGCUACUUCAGGUCACUAAGUCACAAAAUCAAGUCACAAAGUAAUUAGAAGAGCCAAUCAGAACUCCAAGCUUGACUUAACUCUAAGUUGCCUCUCAAGCCUGAUUUGUACCUUCUAAGGCUGGCAGCCUGCAGAGGGGAUGAGG